UGAAUACGAGAUGCUACGGCGUCGAAGCAGUGUAUGUCAGACCUCCAAGAAAAGCUCGCAAUGUCAUAAAUAAAGAAUGCCUGUACCAUAACCGACACAGGUGGGUAGGUAGAGUAUACUAAGGGGCGCGAGAUAACUCUCUCUAAGGAACUCGGCAAAAUAACUCCGUAACUUCGGGAGAAGGAGUGCCUUCUUUAAGAAGGUUGCAAUAACAAGAUCCAAGCAACUGUUUAUCAAAAACACAGGUCUCCGCUAAGUCGUAAGACGAUGUAUGGGGGCUGACGCCUGCCCAGUGCCAGAAGGUUAAAGAAGUUGGUUAGCUUUUGCGAAGCUGAUGACUGAAGCCCUGGUGAACGGCGGCCGUAACGAUAACGGUCCUAAGGUAGCGAAAUUCCUUGUCGGGUAAGUUCCGACCCGCACGAAAGGCGUAAUGAUUUGGAUACUUUCUCGGAGAGGGACUCGGUGAAAUAGACUUGUCUGUGAAGAUGCGGACUACCUGCACCAGGACAGAAAGACCCUAUGAAGCUUUACUGUAACUUGAAAUUGAAAUUGGACUUUAUUUGCGCAGUAUAGGUGGAAGGCGUUGAAAGUAAUCUUGCGGGAUUAGUGGAGCCAUCAGUGAGAUACCACUCCUAUAAUGUUAGAUUUCUAACUUUGGAUCAUGAUCUGGUCAAAGAACAGUUUCAGGCGGGCAGUUUGACUGGGGCGGUCGCCUCCCAAAUGGUAACGGAGGCGUACAAAGGUUUCCUCUGAACGGGUAGAAAUCGUAUCUAGAGUGUAAAGGCAUAAGGAAGCUUGACUGUGAGACCUACAAGUCGAGCAGGGACGAAAGUCGGUCUUAGUGAUCUGACGGUGCUGAGUGGAAAGGCCGUCACUCAACGGAUAAAAGUUACUCUAGGAUAACAGGCUGAUCUCCCCCAAGAGUUCACAUCGACGGGGAGGUUUGGCACCUCGAUGUCGGCUCAUCGCAUCCUGGGGCGGUAGUACGUCCCAAGGGUUGGGCUGUUCGCCCAUGAAAGCGGUACGCGAGCUGGGUUCAGAACGUCGUGAGACAGUUCGGUCCAUAUCCGGUGUAGGCGUUAGAAUAUUGAGAGGAGCCUUCUUUAGUACGAGAGGACCGAGAAGGACAUACCUCUGGUGUACCAGUUAUCGUGCCAACGGUAAACGCUGGGUAGCUAUGUAUGGAGAGGAUAACCGCUGAAAGCAUCUAAGUGGGAAGCCCACCUCAAGAUGAGUAUUCU
rnacentral:rRNA from 1 species